UAAAAAUAUUUUUAAGUAUAUAAAACAUAAAUAUAAAAGUAGAGACAUAUGCAUACAAAUAUUAAAAAAUAGCAUCAACGGAAACAAAGUAAAACUACCUGAGGGACGUAUUCAAAGAUAACUUCAAACUGGUGAGGGGUGUUGCUGUUGUCAGUGACUGAUCAAGUUUGUUCCAUUCUGAAAUUCCUGUGACAAAUGGGCUGUUCUUCAAACAAUCGGUUUUACUUCUUGGUACAGUAAGUGAAUUCAUGACAUAGGCCUGUCUCGUGUUAUAGUUGGGAGUCUGGUUUGUUUGAGUAAAUUCAUCACUUAAGUAAACUGGAGCCAAAUCGUGCAAACAUUUAAACAUCAGUACAGCACGGUGAUAAAUAAACCGUUUGUUCAAAGGCAUCCACUUUAGCUUGUGUAAAAGAUCAGCGGACGGAGUAUCAGUGUUCAAUAUUCGCUUCGCGUUUCUGAAGUUUCUCAAGCUUGUCAGUAUGCAUGCGGAAUCUUUCUGACCAUAUCUGACAACAAUAAUCAAAAUAAGGCUGAAUAAACGUUUAUAAAGCAUGGUUAAGCUUUCUAAAGGAAGAUAUGGUCUGACCCUUCGAAGCAUGCUUAAUUUCGAUAUUAUAUUUUUGUAUAUUCGUUUUAAGUGUUUCAGUUUAAAGAGUUUCUAAUGCUUGCGUUAACAAAAUACAAAGAUCACUUGUGUAUAGGUUGUAAAUCUUUAACCCCACAUUUAACAAAGACAAUUUCUAUCUAUAAAAUAUAAAUAAACUGAUAAAAGAUUACAAAUAAGAAAGCAAAGAGAGCAUACAAAAGAAUACAAAUGUCCAUAAGCAAGUGUAAUAUCAGCGUAAUAUCCACUAAAAAUGUCGGAAAGAAGGCUAAAAUGUGGCAACGUAGGCUUACGUGUGAACAAUUAAUCGAGGUUGUCCAGAUUAUUUUAACACCUAUAUCACACGAAUUUCCCAGGACGAUACUUUGAUUUCGGCCCCUAGCAUUGUUCACUUCAAUUCCUAAUACCAAUUUCAAAAAUCCACCAACGGAUUUCAUUCAAAGCGCAAUAUAAUUCAAAUUUGAAGCAUUCUGAUUCGUCCUAAUUUCGGUGAAUUCGUCUCAUGUGACCAUCGGCGUUGCAUCGAAAAAGAAGUUUUUUAUUUUUCAUUUAUUUUGGCGCUUUGAACAUAUAAAUUCAGACAUUUCAAUCUUUGCAUUUCCUUGCCCAAUCUGGCCUACAAAUGUCUUGAUAUUUGUACUUUUUCUUGUCAUUCCUUGUAAACAGAAGAGAUUAAAGUCCAAAAAGAUCAUUACGUUCUUCCGUCCAUAUUCUCUUAUUGAUUAAUAGCUUUUUCUCGACCAAUUUCGGCAAAAUAGUAGAAUUAAACAACGCGUCAGCCAAUAUCGCGCGGAAUGAAAUGCUGAUCCAAGUCAUAAUUCAAUUUGAUAAGCUUGCAAUAGAGUUGGAUAGUGAGAUUUACAAAAGGAACUGUUUGAUUCAAUUUCCCGUCCGCUUUUUGCUGUGUACAUUAUUUUGGUAGUUGGUAUUUUAAACCUUGAAUAACCCGAAUUUCCCAAAGAAUGUUAAAGCUAGACAAUGAUCAAGACUGUACGUGUCUGUUUAAGAAUCACCUUCCUUGUGUAUUAUAUAAAUUAAUUGCAAAUAAUAAAAGUAUUUGUUCAAUAUUUUGAUUUUAAUUCCAGAUUUCGUUAAUGACAUUUUAUUUUUCAGGUUUAUCCGCUUUAUUUUUAUUAGUGUAAUUUGAAUCAGGACUUUAUGGAAAGCAGUUUUGCAACUGACAUGGCCACCUGGUACAAAUAAAACAGCAAAUAAUGGAUAAAAAGGGGAAAAUGUGGGUGUAGACAUCAUCCUUCCAAAAAAGUUGAAAAGGUGAUUUUAGAUAACAGAUAAUCGCUCAUAAUUACUGUUUUAUCUAUUGAAACAAAGGACUUCAGGGUUAUCCCAAAGUAUUCCAAUAAUUAUAACACUUUUUUGAAAUUAUGGACAAAACAGAAUCAGACUUAGUCGGUCAACACUGAUUUUUAACUUAAAAAUAUUAGUCAGUGACGAUCAGGUAAAUCCUAGAGACAAGUAUAAAUUUUCCAGGUGAAAUACGUAAAAACCGCAUUUAAAUUCAUUUUUAAGGGCCAAGUUGAAAUAGAUUUGCUCUCCACAGUUGUUCCUAUGGUUCAUCUUAGAUGUUUCAUUGUAGAUGCUUUCAAAUAAAAAGAAAUAAAGGCGCAAUGCAACUAUCCCAUUUAUAUGUAUAUUUCACGGUCUCCUGUAUUUUCAUCCAUCAGAUUUUAGUUCAAACGAUUUUCGAAUAAUGUUAUAGCCAUUCUAAAUAAAAUGAUCAACGCAAACAAAGGAAACGAGUCAUGAGAAUCAA
rnacentral:lncRNA from 1 species